GGUAGCAAUACCCCCUAGAGCGGCGGACUGGUGAGUAACGCGUGGGUGAUCUGCCCUUGGGAUGGGGAUAGCCAUUAGAAAUAGUGGGUAAUACCGAAUACGUUCGUCUGGACGCGUCCAGACGAGGAAAAGCGCUUCGGCGCUGCCCGAGGAUGAGCCCGCGUCCCAUUAGCCAGUUGGUGAGGUAAAGGCCCACCAAGGCUAUGAUGGGUAGCCGGCCUGAGAGGGUGUACGGCCACACUGGGACUGAGAUACGGCCCAGACUCCUACGGGAGGCAGCAGCUAAGAAUAUUCCGCAAUGGACGAAAGUCUGACGGAGCGACGCCGCGUGGAUGACGAAGGCCGAAAGGUUGUAAAGUCCUUUUGUUGGGGAAGAAUAACCAUGGGAGGGAAUGCCCGUGGGAUGACAUGAACCGACGAAUAAGCCCCGGCUAACUACGUGCCAGCAGCCGCGGUAACACGUAGGGGGCGAGCGUUGUUCGGAAUUACUGGGCGUAAAGGGCAUGUAGGCGGCCCUAUAAGUCCGGCGUGGAAGCCCAUGGCUCAACCGUGGGAUUGCGCUGGAAACUGCAGGGCUUGAAUCAUGGAGAGGGAGCUAGAAUUCCUGGUGUAGGGGUGAAAUCUGUAGAGAUCAGGAAGAAUACCAGUGGCGAAGGCGAGCUCCUGGCCAAUGAUUGACGCUGAGGUGCGAAAGUGUGGGGAUCAAACAGGAUUAGAUACCCUGGUAGUCCACACUGUAAACGAUGUGCACUAGGUGCUGGGGCGGAUGCUUCAGUGCCGGAGCUAACGCGGUAAGUGCACCGCCUGGGGAGUAU
rnacentral:rRNA from 1 species